UCGUGCACAUGGUCCGUUUGGAUAGAAGUAAAGUUGGUUUUAUAUUUGCACAUUCGCACUUACGCUCCCCUAAUAAAAUAUUAGAAAACUAUUGUUUGCAAAUUCCAAAUAGCGAAAUCACACUAGCAGACAACUAUUAUCAAACUACAACAGCGUUCAUGGUCAAAGAAAUCAUGCUAGUGUUGUUUGAAGUGUUACUUACAUGCGAUUUCAGACCGAAUAUUCAAUAUCGCGUGAAAAACAACAAAGGGACCGAGUCAAAAGUUCUCAGGUUGUUGAAAAACGAACAAAAGGAAUUCAGCCAACUACUAUAACGGUUUUGAAAUCAUGGCCUGUGCACAUCAACAUCUGUGGACCCUGCAGAACAUGCAUGCAACCUGUGCCCUGCUGUUUUCCUUACCUCUGUCUUACCCAUUGUCUUAACUAAAUAUUGUAACACUGUCAUUUCUGUUUUUUCUGUUUAUGACAUGUUGUUGUACAUUAAACUAUCAUUAUAUCAUAAA